UACGUAGGGGGCGAGCGUUAUCCAGAUUUACUGGGCGUAAAGCGCGUGUAGGCGGCUGGUUAGGUGGGAUGUGAAAUCCUCGGGCUCAACCCGAGAACUGCCUCCGAUACUGGGAGCCUUCGAGUCCGGGAGAGGUGAGUGGAACUGCGAGUGUAGAGGUGAAAUUCGUAGAUAUUCGCAAGAACACCAGUGGCGAAGGCGGCUCACUGGCCCGGUACUGACGCUGAGGUGCGAAAGCGUGGGGAGCAAACAGG
rnacentral:rRNA from 1 species